AGUGAACGCUGGCGGUAGGCCUAACACAUGCAAGUCGAACGGCAGCACAGUAAGAGCUUGCUCUUACGGGUGGCGAGUGGCGGACGGGUGAGGAAUACAUCGGAAUCUACUUUUUCGUGGGGGAUAACGUAGGGAAACUUACGCUAAUACCGCAUACGCCCUACGGGUGAAAGCAGGGGAUCUUCUGACCUUGCGCGAUUGAAUGAGCCGAUGUCGGAUUAGCUAGUUGGCGGGGUAAAGGCCCACCAAGGCGACGAUCCGUAGCUGGUCUGAGAGGAUGAUCAGCCACACUGGAGCUGAGACACGGUCCAGGCUCCUACGGGAGGCCGCAGUGGGUAAUAUUGGACAAUGGGGGCAAGCCUGAUCCAGCCGUGCCGGGUGGGUGAAGCAGGCCUGCGGGUUGUAAAGCCCUUUUGUUGGGAAAGAAAAGCAGCAGGUUAAUACCCCGCUGUUCUGACGGUACCCAAAGAGUAAGCACCGGCUAACUUCGU
rnacentral:rRNA from 1 species